AGGGGCGGGUCUUACCAUGCAGUCGAACGGAGAUUCAGCAAUGGAUCUUAGUGGCGAACGGGUGAGUAACGCGUAGGCAAUCUGCCUUCUAGAUGGGGACAACAUCCCGAAAGGGGUGCUAAUACCGAAUGUUGUACCGUUUCCGCAUGGAGAUGAUACUAAAGGUGGCCUCUGAAUAUGCUACCGCUAGAAGAUGAGCCUGCGUCUGAUUAGCUAGUUGGAGGGGUAACGGCCCACCAAGGCUUCGAUCAGUAGCCGGUCUGAGAGGAUGAACGGCCACACUGGGACUGAGACACGGCCCAGACUCCUACGGGAGGCAGCAGUGGGGAAUCUUCCGCAAUGGACGAAAGUCUGACGGAGCAACGCCGCGUGAGUGAAGAAGGUUUUCGGAUCGUAAAGCUCUUUCGUUAGGGACGAACGUGCUCUUUGUGAAUAAUGAGGAGUAAUGACGGUACCUAAAUAAGAAGCCACGGCUAACUACGUGCCAGCAGCCGCGGUAAUACGUAGGUGGCAAGCGUUGUCCGGAAUUAUUGGGCGUAAAGCGCGCGCAGGCGGGAUAUCAAGUCUGUCUUAAAAGUGCGAGGCUCAACCUCGUGAGGGGACGGAAACUGGUAUUCUUGAGUGUCGGAGAGGAAAGUGGAAUUCCAAGUGUAGCGGUGAAAUGCGUAGAGAUUUGGAAGAACACCAGUGGCGAAGGCGACUUUCUGGACGAUGUCUGACGCUGAGGCGCGAAAGCUAGGGGAGCGAACGGGAUUAGAUACCCCGGUAGUCCUAGCCGUAAACGAUGGGUACUAGGUGUAGGGGGGUAUCGACCCCUUCC
rnacentral:rRNA from 1 species